rnacentral:rRNA from 1 species
UACAGAGGGGGCUAGCGUUGUUCGGAAUUACUGGGCGUAAAGGGCGCGUAGGCGGCCCGCUAAGUCGAACGUGAAAUCCCCGGGCUCAACCCAGGAAGUGCACUCGAAACUGGCAGGCUAGAGUACUGGAGAGGUUGGUGGAAUUCUCGGUGUAGAGGUGAAAUUCGUAGAUAUCGAGAGGAACACCGGUGGCGAAGGCGGCCAACUGGACAGAUACUGACGCUGAGACACGAAAGCGUGGGGAGCAAACAGG